CCGCGAUAUAUUGGGCGGCAAGUUAACAAUAAUUUGUAUUUCUUUGAUAAUUAAACAAACAAAAAUAUAUAUCAGCCUAGUCCGCUGGCUACUGUGUUAGCUGUGCGGAUGUUAUACAGCCAACAUUUAUUUGAGAAAUUCCCUUUGGCUUAUCAUUCCACUUUGCUACAUCACUGUUGCAGGCAUUGCGCAUCACUGAUGCCUUAGGUGCUAUGGACGAUCAGCUGAUUGCGGCGUAUGUUGGGAUGCUUCAGAUCGUCUUACUUUUCUCUGGAUUGCAGUCCUCCGAAGCUGUGUUGGCCUAAUUGUCCACCGGCGAUCUCCUUGGUGGCCGCUUUGUCUUUAGGGACGUAAUAAAUCUGUUGUUGCCGCUUGCUUAUAUAUGUA
rnacentral:sRNA from 1 species